AGCUUGCUAUCAGGCGUCGAGCGGCGGACGGGUGAGUAAUACUUAGGAAUCUACCUAGUAGUGGGGGAUAGCACGGGGAAACUCGUAUUAAUACCGCAUACGACCUACGGGAGAAAGGGGGCAGUUUACUGCUCUCGCUAUUAGAUGAGCCUAAGUCGGAUUAGCUAGAUGGUGGGGUAAAGGCCUACCAUGGCGACGAUCUGUAGCUGGUCUGAGAGGAUGAUCAGCCACACCGGGACUGAGACACGGCCCGGACUCCUACGGGAGGCAGCAGUGGGGAAUAUUGGACAAUGGGGGAAACCCUGAUCCAGCCAUGCCGCGUGUGUGAAGAAGGCCUUUUGGUUGUAAAGCACUUUAAGCAGUGAAGAAGACUCUUCGGUUAAUACCCGGAGACGAUGACAUUAGCUGCAGAAUAAGCACCGGCUAACUCUGUGCCAGCAGCCGCGGUAAUACAGAGGGUGCAAGCGUUAAUCGGAAUUACUGGGCGUAAAGGGAGCGUAGGUGGCUCGAUAAGUCAGAUGUGAAAUCCCCGGGCUCAACCUGGGAACUGCAUCUGAUACUGUUGAGCUAGAGUAUGUGAGAGGAAGGUAGAAUUCCAGGUGUAGCGGUGAAAUGCGUAGAGAUCUGGAGGAAUACCGAUGGCGAAGGCAGCCUUCUGGCAUAAUACUGACACUGAGGCUCGAAAGCGUGGGUAGCAAACAGGAUUAGAUACCCUGGUAGUCCACGCCGUAAACGAUGUCUACUAGUCGUUGGGUCCCUUGAGGACUUAGUGACGCAGCUAACGCAAUAAGUAGACCGCCUGGGGAGUACGGCCGCAAGGUUAAAACUCAAAUGAAUUGACGGGGGCCCGCACAAGCGGUGGAGCAUGUGGUUUAAUUCGAUGCAACGCGAAGAACCUUACCUGGUCUUGACAUAUCUAGAAUCCUGCAGAGAUGCGGGAGUGCCUUCGGGAAUUAGAAUACAGGUGCUGC
rnacentral:rRNA from 1 species